GCACUACCGAAGAUGACCCUCCAGCUAGUGGCUGAGUCUGAAAAGCAAAAGAAGAACUUUCAUAAGGAGCAAACUUUCUUAGAGCAGUGGGUAAGAAAGAAACUUGAAAAUAAGCCUUCCGGGCUUCUACCGACUUGGAAGGUGAAGUCAAAACUGAAGGACUGGAGUUACCGCCUUUCUGUCUUCAGCUUCACGAUGCUCCCCUUGGCGAAAAACGCACUAAAUCGUCUCGGAGUUCGAAGCAUUCAGCAAACAAUGGCAAGGCAGAACCACCAGAAGCAGGCACCUGAUUUCCAUGACAAAUACGGUAAUGCUGUAUUAGCCAGUGGAGCCGCUUUCCACGUUGCUGUAUGGGCAUAUACAGCAACACAAAUUGGAAUAGAAUGGAACCUGUCCCCUGUUUGCAGAGUCACCCCAAAGGAAUGGAGAGAACACUAAUCAUCCCAGCUGGUUUCAUACUGAAUUGUUUCAAAAUCAACUCAUAAUUGAUGCCAAGUUAAAAGCAUUAUGUACCCAUUAACAUAUGGCGUGAUUGUAGAAAAUAAAGUACAUUUGAAAACUU